rnacentral:rRNA from 1 species
UGGGGAAUAUUGCGCAAUGGGGGGAACCCUGACGCAGCCAUGCCGCGUGAAUGAAGAAGGCCUUCGGGUUGUAAAGUUCUUUCGGUAUUGAGGAAGGUUGAUGUGUUAAUAGCACAUCAAAUUGACGUUAAAUACAGAAGAAGCACCGGCUAACUCCGUGCCAGCAGCCGCGGUAAUACGGAGGGUGCGAGCGUUAAUCGGAAUAACUGGGCGUAAAGGGCACGCAGGCGGUUAUUUAAGUGAGGUGUGAAAGCCCCGGGCUUAACCUGGGAAUUGCAUUUCAGACUGGGUAACUAGAGUACUUUAGGGAGGGGUAGAAUUCCACGUGUAGCGGUGAAAUGCGUAGAGAUGUGGAGGAAUACCGAAGGCGAAGGCAGCCCCUUGGGAAUGUACUGACGCUCAUGUGCGAAAGCGUGGGGGGCAAACAGGAUUAGAUACCCUGGUAGUCCACGCUGUAAACGCUGUCGAUUUGGGGGUUGGGGUUUAACUCUGGCGCCCGUAGCUAACGUGAUAAAUCGACCGCCUGGGGAGUACGGCCGCAAGGUUA